UACGUGGGUGGCAAGCGUUGUCCGGAUUUAUUGGGUUUAAAGGGUGCGUAGGCGGCUUUGUAAGUCAGUGGUGAAAUAUGGAAGCUCAACUGUCAGGGUGCCAUUGAUACUGCGGAGCUUGAGUACAGAUGAGGUAGGCGGAAUUGACGGUGUAGCGGUGAAAUGCUUAGAUAUCGUCAAGAACACCGAUAGCGAAGGCAGCUUACUAGGCUGUAACUGACGCUGAGGCACGAAAGUGUGGGGAUCAAACAGG
rnacentral:rRNA from 1 species